GACGAACGCUGGCGGCGUGCUUAACACAUGCAAGUCGAACGGAAAGGCCCUGCUUGCGGGGUUCUCGAGUGGCGAACGGGUGAGUAACUCAUGGGUGAUCUGCCCUGCUCUUCGGGUUAAGCCUGUGCAAGUGGGUCUAAUUCCGACCAGGUGCUAUUUUUAGUGUGAUGGUUGGAAAGUUUUUUCGGUGUUGGCUGAGCUUGCUGGCUAUCUGCUUGUUGGUUUGGUAAUGGCCUACCAAGGCGGCGGCGGGUAGCCGGCCUGCGUAGGUGGACUGCGAUACUGGGACCGAGGGAAGGCCCAGGCAGCUACGGGAGGGAGCAGUGGGGAAGAUUGAACAAGGGGCGCAGGGCGGAUGCAGAGGCGCCGCGUAGGGGAUGACGGCCUUAGGGUUGUAGACCACAUUCGCAAGGAACGAAGCAUUUUGUGACGGUACCUAGACAAGAAGCACCGGCUAACUACGUG
rnacentral:rRNA from 1 species